GUGGCCAUGGUGUAGUGGUUAGCACGGCAAUUUGUGGAAUUGUCAGCGAGGGUUCAAAUCCCUCUGGCCACC
rnacentral:tRNA from 1 species